GUAGGUGGCAAGCGUUGUCCGGAAUUAUUGGGGCGUAAAGCGCGCGCAGGCGGUUCUCUAAGUCUGAUGUGAAAGCCCACGGGCUCAACCGUGGAGGGUCAUUGGAAACUGGAGAACUUGAGUACAGAAGAGGAAAGCGGAAUUCCACGUGUAGCGGUGAAAUGCGUAGAGAUGUGGAGGAACACCAGUGGCGAAGGCGGCUUUCUGGUCUGUAACUGACGCUGAGGCGCGAAAGCGUGGGGAGCAAACAGGAUUAGAUACCCUGGUAGUCCACGCCGUAAACGAUGAGUGCUAAGUGUUAGGGGGUUUCCGCCCCUUAGUGCUGCAGCUAACGCAUUAAGCACUCCGCCUGGGGAGUACGGCCGCAAGGCUG
rnacentral:rRNA from 1 species